CGGCCGAGCCGGGGCCGGGCGCGGGGCGGCAGUAGCAGAGGUAGCGGUCCGGACCGUCCCGAAGCACUCGGAAAGGCCCCGACGGCUCCGCCAUGGCAGCGCCGGAAGGGGCGGUGCGAGAGGCGCGGGCGGCGCUGCGGGAACGGACGGGGCUGUGAUGGUGCACCUCGGGCUGCGGCGGGUGGAGGACAGCGUGGCCGCCAAACACCCGGCGCUGCAGCAGUACGCGGCGUGUCAGGCCCACGCCUUCAUGAAGGGCAUCGGCACCUUCCUGGCGGGUACGGCCACGGAGGGACGCGGCGGGAGGGGCUGCCCCGGUACCGACUGCCCCCCGGCCCUGACGGCGCCGUGGCCGGGACCGCCCGGCUCGCUGUUCGGGCAGGCAGCGGCGCUGCGUUUGCCGUGCAGAAGCUGGUGAACAGGAGGCUGCCGUACGCGCUGCAGUGGAACCUGCUGCUGUCUGUGGCGGCAGGGUCCUUGGCCAGCUACACGGUGACCAGAGCGGAGACGCAGAAGUGCUCGGACUUCUGGAUUUAUUUGGAGACGGGGAUGUCCCCGCGGGAGCGCAGUGUGGCUGACGGAGUGCCUCAGCCCGCAGACAAUCUGCUCAGCCCAGAGGACGCAGAGAGUGUGUCACCGCCCGUGAGGAGGAACAAAUAUGGGGACGUCGUGGAGUAGCCAGGAGCACGGCGUGCUGUGCCCACAUUCUGCUGCUGCUGCCCUCAGCCCUUCUGUCUGCUUGGUGUGCCCCUGCAGCGUGGGAGACUUCUGCAGUGCUGCCGGGGAGCUCAGAGGAGUCCCCAGUGGUUGUGUGUGAGCACCCAAUAAAAGUCUUGAGCUGAAUGCA